UAACCGACUCUCGGCAACGGAUAUCUCGGCUCUCGCAUCGAUGAAGAACGUAGCGAACUGCGAUACUUGGUGUGAAUUGCAGAAUCCCGUGAACCAUCGAGUCUUUGAACGCAAGUUGCGCCCGAAGCCAUUUGGACGAGGGCACGUUUGCCUGGGUGUCA
rnacentral:rRNA from 18 species